UCCUACGGGAGGCAGCAGUGGGGAAUAUUGCCCAAUGGGCGAAAGCCUGAUGCAGCAACGCCGCGUGAGUGAUGAAGGUUUUCGGAUCGUAAAACUCUGUUCUAAGGGAAGAUAAUGACGGUACCUUAGGAGAAAGCCCCGGCUAACUACGUGCCAGCAGCCGCGGUAAUA
rnacentral:rRNA from 1 species